UACGAAGGGGGCUAGCGUUGUUCGGAAUCACUGGGCGUAAAGCGCACGCAGGCGGAUUGAUAAGUCAGGGGUGAAAUCCCGGGGCUCAACCUCGGAAUUGCCUUUGAUACUGUCUGUCUUGAGUUCGGGAGAGGUUGGCGGAAUUCCUAGUGUAGAGGUGAAAUUCGUAGAUAUUAGGAAGAACACCAGUGGCGAAGGCGGCCAACUGGCCCGAUACUGACGCUCAUGUGCGAAAGCGUGGGGAGCAAACAGG
rnacentral:ncRNA from 2 species